ACUCAAAUGAAUAGACGGGGGCCCGCACAAGCAGCGGAGCGUGUGGUUUAAUUCGAUGCAACACGAAGAACCUUACCAAGGCUUGACAUGCUGGAAGUAGCGAACCGAAAGGGGAGCCAACUGUUAAGUCAGUAGCCUGCACAGGUGCUGCAUGGCUGUCGUCAGCUCGUGCCGUGAGGUGUUGGGUUAAGUCCCCCAACGAGCGUAACCCUUAUUGCCAGUUGUUUUCUCUGGCGAGACUGCCCCGCAAAACGGGGAGGAAGGUGGGGAUGACGUCAAGUCAGCACGGCCCUUAUGCCUGGGGCUACACACACGCUACAAUGGACGGUACAAUGGGUAGCAAUGGAGCGAUUCGGAGCUAAUCCUAAAAGCCGUUCUCAGUUCGGAUCGCAGGCUGAAACCCGCCUGCGUGAAGUCGGAGUUGCUAGUAAACGCAAGUCAGCAAAUUGCGUUGAAUACGUUCUCGGGCCUUGCACACACCGCCCGU
rnacentral:rRNA from 1 species